GUUGAUCUGAAUGCAAAGAGAUUUGAUGAAGCCAAGAAAUUUGGUGUCACCGAGUUUGUGAGCCCAAAAGACCAUGACAAGCCUGUUCAUGAGGUGCUUGCUGAAAUGACCAAUGGUGGAGUUGAUCGAAGUAUCGAGUGCACUGGAAGUAUCAAUGCCAUGAUUUCUGCAUUUGAAUGUGUUCAUGAUGGAUGGGGUGUUGCUGUACUUGUUGGUGUCCCAAACAGAGAUGAUG